rnacentral:rRNA from 1 species
GAUGAACGCUGGCGGCGUGCCUAAUACAUGCAAGUCGAGCGAACAGACGAGGAGCUUGCUCCUCUGACGUUAGCGGCGGACGGGUGAGUAACACGUGGAUAACCUACCUAUAAGACUGGGAUAACUUCGGGAAACCGGAGCUAAUACCGGAUAACAUGUUGAACCGCAUGGUUCAACAGUGAAAGACGGUCUUGCUGUCACUUAUAGAUGGAUCCGCGCCGCAUUAGCUAGUUGGUAGGGUAACGGCUUACCAAGGCAACGAUGCGUAGCCGACCUGAGAGGGUGAUCGGCCACACUGGAACUGAGACACGGUCCAGACUCCUACGGGAGGCAGCAGUAGGGAAUCUUGCGCAAUGGGCGAAAGCCUGACGGAGCAACGCCGCGUGAGUGAAGAAGGUCUUCGGAUCGUAAAACUCUGUUAUUAGGGAAGAACAGAAGUGUAAGUAACUAUGCACGUCUUGACGGUACCUACACAGAAAGCCACGGCUAACUACGUG